AUGGAGGUGGUCAAAAAGGCUUGGAUUGAGCCGCUCGAGCAUGUUGAGCCAUAUCAAGUCCUGUUCCAUAAGCUCAAGAAGGUGGCUCUCCGCCUUUCCGAAUGGAGUAGGGGCCUUUUCUCCAAGGCAAAGGUUCACCUACACGCUGCACUAUUCGUGAUCCUACGCCUCGACAUCGCUCAAGAGACCCGACAACUCUCCCCCGAGGAGAGUGACCUUAGGGCGAGGCUUAAAAGGAGGGUCAUUAGCUUGGCCGUGCUUGAGAGAGCUCGGAAAAAGCAAAGUGCGAGAAUUGCUAACCUCAAGGAGGGUGAUGCCAACACCAAGUUCUUCCAUCGCCGGAUUAAUGCUAGAAGGAGGAAAAAUCACAUUCAUAGGCUAAAACAUGACCAAGGGUGGGUCACCGAGCAUGAC
rnacentral:rRNA from 1 species